rnacentral:lncRNA from 1 species
ACCCUCCGCAUGUAAAGCCACCUUUCCACCCCAAACCACCGCAUCACAAGCCACCCCAUGUCAAACCACCGCACAAGCCCCCGUAUGUUCCUAAACCACCUUACACACCAAGGCCUAAACCGCCUUACACGCCAAAACCACCUUAUACGCCAACCCCUAAGCCACCAUAUUUCCCCAAACCACCUUACACACCAAGGCCUAAGCCACCGUAUGCGCCAAAACCACCUUAUACGCCAACCCCUAAGCCACCCUAUUUCCCCAAACCACCUUACACACCAAGUCCCAAAACCACCUUACACCCCAACUCCUAAGCCACCGUAUGUCCCUAAACCACCGUAUGUACCAUCACCACCUUAUACCCCUCGCCCUAGACCACCGUAUGUACCAUCGCCACCUUAUACCCCUAGUCCUAAACCACCGUAUGUGCCAUCACCACCUUAUACCCCCAGCCCUACCCCACCAUAUGUACCAUCACCACCGUAUACCCCAAGCCCUACCCCGCCAUAUGUACCAUCACCACCGUAUACCCCAAGCCCUAGCCCACCACCACCACCAAGUGGAACACCGUGUCCUCCGCCGCCGCCACCAACUUGUCCCAUUGAUACUCUCAAGCUUGGUGCAUGCGUCGACGUGUUGGGUGGU